rfam:Angiostrongylus costaricensis strain Costa Rica genome assembly, scaffold: ACOC_contig0003324
GGCCCUGUGGCCUAAUGGAUAAGGCGUCGGUCCCCAAAACCGAGGAAUCAAGGUUCGAGUCCCUGCUGGGUCG